AUAUUUAAUUUUGACCCAAAGUAGGGCUGAUCUACCUUGGCUGCCUGGGUAUUUGCCAAAGAAAUACUUUUGAUCCAAGUAGACAAGUGCACGGUGGCCAAUGCAACCAUGUCUGGUUGCCCUUUAAAGGACAAGAGCCACCUCAUGCAAAAAUGGGUCUUAUGGCGCUUCUGCACGCAUAGCUUAAGCACAGUCUGCGCUCUUGCUCCAUCUGAUCAGGAGCUGCCCUGUCCACUGUAGAUCACGCAGGCUUUCGUGGUCUCAUGAGUUUUCUUCCUGUUGAACUGAUUAGGAUGCUAUAUAUAGUCACAGCUGCUGUGCUGCGUACGUGUAUAUGCGUAUUUAAGAGUUCAUUUAGAAGUUUUGCUGCGUUUAUUGGCCGACAGGCCCCUGUGACCUUUAAGGUGAGCUGUGUUUAGCUAUGUUAACGUAACAUUCAGUGUACUAUUUUCAUGAUGCAAAAAUGUUGUUUGGUGUAUUCUUCCUUGACGCAAACCCUUUCCCGGCGCGAAUGCGGCAGUCAUCAAGUUUUUACUCCUUCACAAAUCUGGCUUGCAAAACAUGCUGUUUACUGUAGUUGUUCACAAGCGAACAACUAAAAAUAACUUAGACAGUCAUACACUUGUAUAAGCAAAUCUUAAAAACAAAGUAACAUACUAUGUGCGAUUAACAAUAUGAUAUAGUGGCUAGGUGUUUUGAUGUACAUGAUGUCAUACUGAAUAUGUGCAUUGAUUUACAAUAUAACACACUGGCUAGGUGUAGAAUGUCAUACUAAAUAUGUGCAUUGAUUUACAAUAUAACACACUGGCUAUGUGUAUUGAUGUACAGGAUGUAAAACUGAAUAUGUGCAUUGAUUUACAAUUUGACACACUGGCUAGGUGUAUUGAUGUAUGGGAUGUCAUACUGAAUAUGUGCAUUAAUUUACAAUAUAACAUACUGGCUAGGUGUAUUGAUGUACAGGAUUUCAUACUGAAUUCGUACAUUGAUGUACAAUAUUAGUUACACCGUUAGUAACUGAUGGUGUAUGGGAUAUACACCCUCAGUAAUUUCAUACGGUACAAGAGUGAAGCUGGAGUAUGGUAUUAAAUUACUGAGGGUGUAUUUCCCAUACACCGUCAGUUACUAACGGUGUGACGAUUAUAUCUCAACCGACUACUUGAUUACUCAGUGGGUAUUGAAAUUACUCGGGGUGUAUGAAAAGUACUCCAUGGGCACGUGACGGCUCUGAGCCAAUUGGAUUAGGUCAUAUUUGUAGAAGAUGAGAUAUUAUGACAUACAGAAUUUGUGCAUUGAUUUACAAUAUAACAUACUGGCUAGGUGUAUUGAUGUACAUGAUGUCAUACUGAAUUUGUGCAUUGAUGUACAAUAUGACAUACUGGUUAGGUGUAUUAAUGUACAGGAUGUCAUACUGAAUAUGUGCAUUGAUUUACAAUAUGACAUACUGGCUAGGUGUAUUGAUGUAAGGAUGUCAUACUGAAUUUGUGCAUUGAUGUAUAUUAUGACAUACUGUUUUGGUGAAUAGAUGUACAGGAUGUCAUACUGAAUUUGUGCAUUGAUUUACAAUAUGACAUACUGGCUAGGUGUAUUGAUGUAAGGAUGUCAUACUGAAUUUGUGCAUUGAUUUACAAUAUGACAUACUGGCUAGGUGUAUUGAUGUAAGGAUGUCAUACUGAAUUUGUGCAUUGAUGUAUAUAAUGACAUACUGUUUUGGUGAAUAGAUGUACAGGAUGUCAUACUGAAUAUGUGCAUUGAUUUACAAUAUGACAUACU